GUAAUUUAAUUUAUGUUAGAAGCAAGCUCAAAUGGAUUUUAUGCUUCAAUAAGAAUUAGGCUUAUAUGUCUUAAUGUAUUUAAAUGAGUUUGGAACCAUAUAAUUAAUAUAUUAAUCUCUUAGAUAUUUUAAUGAUUAAAAUUGAAUAAUCCUAAGCAUGCUGAAGAAUUUACUACGCAUGCUGAAGAAAUUCUUCAGUCAUACAAAGCUAGCUGAAGUGUUCAUACUUGUCAGCUGAAGAAGUCCACGAUCCUCAUCCAUCCAAGCCACCCCAUUUUUCUUUUAUAACCUACACCAUUCUUCACCCAAACCUCAACACUUCACCAUUUCUAAAUUCUGCAGUCUCAAUUUCACACAGCAAGUUAAGAAAUAAAUAUCUUCCACCACACCUAUUCAAGGUCCAGACGGGAAGUGAAAGCUAAAGAAGGAGGUAACUCUACGCCCCUAGUGGGAACGAAUAAGGUUGAGCGGGUGAUGGAAUGGAGUGGAGUUGAGCGGAUGUACCUUUUGACAUAAAAUAAUAAUGUA